AACGAACGCUGGCGGCAGGCUUAACACAUGCAAGUCGAGCGCCUCGCAAGAGGAGCGGCAGACGGGUGAGUAACACGUGGGAAUCUACCCAUCCCUGCGGAACAACUCCGGGAAACUGGAGCUAAUACCGCAUACGCCCUACGGGGAAAGAUUUAUCGGGGAUGGAUGAGCCCGCGUUGGAUUAGCUAGUUGGUGGGGUA
rnacentral:rRNA from 1 species